GGAAGGGGUGUAUUUAUUAGAUUAAAAACCAAUGCCCUUCGGGGCUCUCUGGUGAUUCAUAAUAACUUCUCGAAUCGCACGGCCUUGCGCCGGCGAUGGUUCAUUCAAAUUUCUGCCCUAUCAACUUUCGACGGCUGGGUCUUGGCCAGCCAUGGUGACAACGGGUAACGGAGGGUUAGGGCUCGACCCCGGAGAAGGAGCCUGAGAAACGGCUACUACAUCCAAGGAAGGCAGCAGGCGCGCAAAUUACCCAAUCCCGACACGGGGAGGUAGUGACAAUAAAUACUGAUACAGGGCUCUUUCGGGUCUUGUAAAUGGAAUGAGUACAAUUUAAAUCCCCUAACGAGGAACAAUUGGAGGGCAAGUCUGGUGCCAGCAGCCGCGGUAAUUCCAGCUCCAAUAGCGUAUAUUAAAGUUGUUGAGGUUUAAUAGCUCGUAGUUGAACCUUGGGCCUAGCCGGCCGAUCCGCCUCACCGCGUGCACUGGCUCGGCUGGGUCUUUCCUUCUGGAGAACCGCAUGCCCUUCACUGGGUGUGCCGGGGAACCAGGACUUUUACA
rnacentral:rRNA from 1 species